rnacentral:rRNA from 1 species
GAUGAACGCUGACAGAGUGCUUAACACAUGCAAGUCGAUGGGGAAGUGGUGCUUGCACCAUGGCAACCAUGGCGGACGGGUGAGUAACGCGUAAGGGACUUACCUGCAGGACUGGGAUAACAGGGGGAAACUCCUGACAAGACCGGAUAAUGUCAUGGAGCUGCAUGGCUUUAUGAUGAAAGGAGACGCCUGCGGAGAGCCUUGCGUCCUAUUAGCUAGUUGGUGAGGUACUGGCUCACCAAGGCGAAGAUAGGUAGCCGGCCUGAGAGGGUGGACGGCCACAAGGGGACGGAGAUACGGCCCUUACUCCUACGGGAGGCAGCAGUGGGGAAUAUUGGACAAUGGGGGCAACCCUGAUCCAGCAAUUCUGUGUGCACGAAGAAGGUUUUCGGAUUGUAAAGUGCUUUCAGAAGGGAAGAAGUAAGUGACGGUACCUGCAGAAGAAGCGACGGCUAAAUACGUG